CACAUACUGGCCAUGCGGACACAGUGUGCAAGUGUGCAUAUCCUGGAGAGAAAUAGGAGGGAAUCUGUAGUGGAUUUGAGAGGAAAGUGCACUUCGAAGCACGGGACACCCUGCUGACACUACCUACCGAAUCCGAAGGUGUGUUCCUUCUACUCAGAGCUUUGUCCAUCUCUCAAGGGUUGGUAAAACAGAUUUGACUUGUGGAAAAUUAACUUCAUUGAUUGCCAAUUAAAAUAGACAGGAAUGAUGAGAAAUAAGAAGUGAAAGCAUCUUCUCCCAGGCCCCUGCAGCCCUCUGCACAGAGCUGGAACACCUGCACACAGAUGUACAGUGUGCAACUCAGAGACCAGGGAGAUGGCUACUUCAAUGAGACAGCCACUACUCUGAAACAUGAGAGGGUCCUAGAGGAGGAAAUGAGGUCAUCUUAGAGGCUCUAAGAAUCACUGAAAGUGAGGAGACACUCCUGAGAAAUCAAGGGAGAUGAUGCAGCAAAGUUUUCCAGCUACAGGGAGAAAGAGAAAAUUGGGUAGAUUUUAUUGCAAGUCAGAUAAUCUUUAAAGUUGUUGAACUGAGAAUUAAGAUUAAGUGAAACAACUGCAAAUAAUGUAGGUCAAGGGAACAAGGGAAGAUUGACUUGCGGACAUUUAUAUUUAUAGUUUAUUUUACUCAGUGCACAUCUAACUUUUAUAAGGGUUUCUUAUUUUAUAAUAAAUUUAUUUGUAGAUUUAUUUUUAUCUAUCUACCUCCCUACCUAUCUGUUUAUUUAUUUUCUGAUGAGAAGGUUACUCGUCUUAAAGAAAAUUAUGGCCAG